CCUACGGGUGGCAGCAGUGAGGAAUAUUGGUCAAUGGUCGCUAGCCUGAACCAGCCAAGCCGCGUGAGGGAGGAAGGCACUGUGGAUUGUAAACCUCUUUUGUCAGGGAACAAAGACUGGGAUGCAUCCCCGGAUGAGUGUACCUGAAGAAAAAGCAUCGGCUAACUCCGUGCCAGCAGCCGCGGUAAUACGGAGGAUGCGAGCGUUAUCCGGAUUUAUUGGGUUUAAAGGGUGCGCAGGCGGGUUGUUAAGUCAGGUGUGAAAGGUGGGGGCUCAACCCUAAAAUUGCGGUCGAUACGGGCAGCAGAGAGUACAGGAGAGGGAGGCGGAAGGCGGGGUGGAGCGGUGAAAUGAUUAGAGAGCACGAAGAACACCGAGUGCGAAGGCAGCAGGCUGGACUGUAACGGACGCUGAUGAUAGAAAGUGUGGGGAUCAAACAGGAUUAGAUACCCUAGUAGUC
rnacentral:rRNA from 1 species